rnacentral:rRNA from 1 species
AACGGUAACAGGCCGCAAGGUGCUGACGAGUGGCGAACGGGUGAGUAAUACAUCGGAACGUGCCCGAUCGUGGGGGAUAACGCAGCGAAAGCUGUGCUAAUACCGCAUACGAUCUACGGAUGAAAGCGGGGGAUCGCAAGACCUCGCGCGGACGGAGCGGCCGAUGGCAGAUUAGGUAGUUGGUGGGGUAAAGGCCUACCAAGCCGACGAUCUGUAGCUGGUCUGAGAGGACGACCAGCCACACUGGGACUGAGACACGGCCCAGACUCCUACGGGAGGCAGCAGUGGGGAAUUUUGGACAAUGGGCGCAAGCCUGAUCCAGCCAUGCCGCGUGCAGGAUGAAGGCCUUCGGGUUGUAAACUGCUUUUGUACGGAACGAAAAGGUUUCUUUUAAUACAGGGAACUGAUGACGUACCGUCGUGUCCAGCAGCAGCGGUA